rnacentral:rRNA from 1 species
UACGUAGGGGGCAAGCGUUAUCCGGAUUUACUGGGUGUAAAGGGAGCGUACGGAUGUGCAAGUCUGAAGUGAAAGCCCGCAGCUCAACUGCGGAACUGCUUUGGAAACUGUGUAUCUGGAGUGCAGGAGAGGUAAGCGGAAUUCCUGGUGUAGCGGUGAAAUGCGUAGAUAUCAGGAGGAACACCGGCGGCGAAGGCGGCUUACUGGACUGUAACUGACGUUGAGGCUCGAAAGCGUGGGUAGCAAACAG